UACGGAGGGUGCAAGCGUUAUCCGGAUUUAUUGGGUUUAAAGGGUCCGUAGGCGGGAUAAUAAGUCAGUGGUGAAAUCCUACAGCUUAACUGUAGAACUGCCAUUGAAACUGUUAUUCUUGAGUUUAGUUGAAGUGGGCGGAAUGUGACGUGUAGCGGUGAAAUGCAUAGAGAUGUCACAGAACACCAAUCGCGAAGGCAGCUCACUAAGCUAAUACUGACGCUAAGGGACGAAAGCGUGGGGAGCGAAC
rnacentral:rRNA from 1 species